UCCCCAAUCAGUUACUCAAACGCAUGCAACUCAGACAGGUGUAUGGCCAAAAAUUAUUUAGUUUGAAAAGAGUGAAAUGAGGCAUUAGGUUGAAACAGAGUGAUUUUAUCUACCUGGGCAGCUCUUAAUCUACCUGGGUGGGCUACCCACGUAGAGCCUCUGUAUGGAAACGUUGCAUUGCAACUAGCACUAUUGUCAUCUUUCUUUAUGAAAUGAAGCCACGCUUUGGACCGUUUCUUCCUUUCCGCCAUGACUCCUUCUUGUUUUCAGGGAUGCUACGAGGUGUUGUGUCACUUCCUUUGGGCAUGGUCAGCAGACCUUUCAGAGCUCUGAUGACUACAUCAGUUGGAUUCAUCUGUAACUGACUGACUGUGACAAAAUAAUCUCAAUUCAAAGAAUGCUGCGAUGUUCACCUUCUGCCUCUGUCUGAUUGGCUGAAGAAUUGACCAGUGAGGAGUCCUUCAGACGGCUGGUGAAGUACUGGAGAGAGAGAGUGGAACUGAGAAGACCUCAGGCAGAAACCGAUGUCAUACCAUGGUAGCAGUCAUGAAGAAGUUCCAGGGCAGCAGAGUCCCCAAACCGAGCAGGAAGAAGAUCAACCACACGCCAAAAUACCUU